CACGUAGACGGCUUUUUAAGUCAGGGGUGAAAUCCCGGGGCUCAACCCCGGAACUGCCCUUGAAACUGGGAAGCUAGAAUCUUGGAGAGGCGAGUGGAAUUCCGAGUGUAGAGGUGAAAUUCGUAGAUAUUCGGAAGAACACCAGUGGCGAAGGCGACUCGCUGGACAAGUAUUGACGCUGAGGUGCGAAAGUGUGGGGAGCAAACA
rnacentral:rRNA from 1 species